rnacentral:sRNA from 1 species
UUUGCCAUGUGCAAGUUCCUGCUUCACCUUCUGCCAUGAGUAAAAACUCUCUGAGGCCUCCCCAGAAGCCAAGCAGAUGCUGGUCUCAUGUCUGUAGAGCCUGCAGAACCAUGAUUUACAUCAUUACAAUUGAUGGACAACCUUACACUCUACGUCUCAGAAAACAAUCGUUCUUACCCCAGAACUUUUUGGUUUAUACAUAUAAUGAAACUGGAUCCUUGCAUUCUGAGUCUCCAUAUUUUAUGAUGCAUUGCCAUUACCAAGGAUAUGCUGCCGAAUUUCCAAAUUCAUUUGUGACACUCAGUAUAUGUUCUGGUCUCAGGGGAUUUCUCCAGUUUGAAAAUAUCAGUUAUGGAAUUGAACCAUUAGAAUCUUCAGCAAGAUUUGAGCAUAUAAUUUAUCAAAUGAAAAAUAAUGAUCCAAAUGUAUCAAUUUUAGCAGAAAAUUACAGUCAUAUUUGGCAGAAAGACCAGCCCUACAAAGUUCCUUUAAACUCACAGGUGACUGUCAUUCUGAUGUUAUGAUAUACUAGAAA